CCAAAGGCCUAGCCUCACCUAAACAAUAACCAACCCACACCCCCUAAAACCAACCAAAAUAUUCUCUAUUCCUUAGUAAAGAAGAUCAAAAAACUACACAGAGCGAUAACCACGUACCGUAAGGGAAAGAUGAAAUAACUGAAAUAAAUUAAAGCACACAACAGUAGAGACUAAAUCUC
rnacentral:rRNA from 1 species